rnacentral:lncRNA from 1 species
CAGAGAGCCUCGUGGGCCCUCGCGUCUGUCCGCUUGGAACAGCUCAGGAAUCGCGGAAGCUGUGAUCUUCGCCAGGUGACACAGGCUCCUUAAUCCGCGGGGCGACCUGACGACGACCUGGGGCAGGUUCUUCCCUUUGGAGAUUAUUCUCAUCCCUUAUGGCCUCGGGCUUGCUCAGGAGCCCUGGCAAUCCAGUGGCGAUUCCAGGUGUGCGUUCUUUUUUGAGGACUUGCUGUAAAUGUUCUCCACGGAGGCCGCAGUUUUUUUCCUUUUCAGAUACUGGGGAUGAAUACAAGCGGGCCCUCAGCUACAUCCCAGCCCUUUAUUUUUUACUUAUAUGGUUUGGUUUGGUUUUGUUUUGUUUUGCGAUAAGGUCUCUCUGUGCAGCCCAGACUGGCGUUGUACUCUCAGUGAUCGUCCUGCCUCAGCCUCCCAAGUGCUGGGAUGACAGGCGUGCAUCAUCACACCCAGCUGUGUCCAGGUUUCUGAUGGCGCAAAUCUCCAGGGUCUUGCUAAGUUGCUAAAUUACCCAGGCUCGGCUCAGAAUGGCAAUCUCCUGCCUCAGCCUCCCAGAGAGCUGGGAUUACAGUCUCACUAUGUAGCCCAGGCUGGCCUCGAACUUGAAGCAGUCUUCCUGCCCUGGUCUCCUAUGUGCUGGGAUUAUCUGUAUGUGCCACCACGACCGACUCAACAACCCCCCCUUAUUUAUUUAUUUUUUGAGACCACUGAGAUAGUCUUGCUAAGUCUUCAAGUUGGCCAGGCUGUGCUCAAGCUUGCAGUCCUCCUGCCUCAGCCUCCCAGAGUACUGGGGUUACAGGCGUGGGCCACCAGGCUCCACUUCAGAUUAGGUUUCUGAUUUGUCAGCCCCUACUAUCACGAAUUCCUUAAUAUCCACCCAUCCAUCCAUCCAUCCAUCUCCUGCUGAUUCACUUUCUCCGAAGAAACUUCACACCUUCUGGGAGUCAGUAAGGCUGCCGUUCUUCAGU